rnacentral:rRNA from 1 species
CCCUUAGAUGUUCUGGGCCGCACGCGCGCUACACUGAUGCAUUCAACGAGCCUAACCUUGACCGACAGGUCCGGGUAAUCUUUGAAUCUGCAUCGUGACGGGGAUAGAUUAUUGCAAUUAUUAAUCUUCAACGAGGAAUGCCUAGUAGGCGCAAGUCAUCAGCUUGCGUCGAUUACGUCCCUGCCCUUUGUACACACCGCCCGUCGCUCCUACCGAUUGGGUGUGCUGGUGAAAUGUUCGGAUCGGCCGUUUGUCGCGGUUUCCGCGGCUCGUGGCUGAGAAGUUCAUUAAACCCUCCCACCUAGAGGAAGGAGAAGUCGUAACA